GUGGGGAUAGCGAAGUGGUCAAACGCGACCGACUCAAGAUCGGUUCCUUUCGGUUCAAGGGUUCGAAUCCCUUUCCCCACA
rnacentral:tRNA from 2 species